rnacentral:rRNA from 1 species
AUGACUCGCCUCCUCAUCGUCCUCCUCGGUGCCGCAUUACCGCUGCUCUUCUCCCUUUCAGAGGGGGGCGAGUUGGGCGUGUGCUAUGGGAGGGUGGCGACUGACCUGCCGGAUCCGGCGUCCGUGGUGCAACUGCUCAAGAAGAACAACAUCACCAUGGUGAGGAUCUACGACACCGACCCCACGGUGCUGCGCUCGCUGGCCAACACCGGCAUUAAGGUGACGGUGGAGCUGACCAACGAGGAGCUGCCGCUUGCGGCGGCCGACGAAAAUAAUUUCGCGCUCCAGUGGGUGCAGAGCAACGUGAAGGCCUACUACCCGUCUACGCUGAUCAAUGCGGUGAUGAUCGGGAACGAGGUGUUCAAAGAGGCUAGUCACCUAAACUCUCAGCUCGUCCCAGCCAUGAAGAAGGUGCAGGCGGCGCUGGUGAAACUGGGCCUGGCGGACGCCGUGAAGGUGAGCACGCCCAUCGCGUUUGACGCACUCCAGACGUCAUUCCCGCCAUCCGCCGGCGCCUUCAAGGACGACAUCGCGCUGUCAGUGAUGAGUCCCAUGCUCGACUUUUUCCGACAGACCGGUUCGUACCUCUCGGUGAACCUCUACCCAUACCUCGCGUACCUGAGUACUCCGGGCAUCUCCAUCAACUAUCUCUUGUUCCGCCCAAACGCCGGCGUGAAUGACACCGUCAGCGGGCAAACGUACUUCAGCCUCUUUGACGCCCAACUUGACGCAGUCUACUAUGCAAUGGAGAAGUUGCCAUCCUCCAGCCUUCGCGCCGGGGGGAUGAGGAAGCUCACAGCAGGGCCCGAUAUAACCACAGAAGCGCGAGUUUCAGAGGGCAGUCAGCCAAACCAGGGAAAUCAUGACGUGGGAACCCCACAAAACGCCCAAGAUUUCAUGGCUGGUCUCACCAGCCAGGUGCUGCAGGGUACCCCCGCCGUAAAUGGAAACAGCCCGCUGGCUGCCAGCGCCGUCCGCGGCACCCCGCACCGUCCCAACACCGAUCUCAACGUGUACAUCUUCGCACUCUUCAACGAGAACAGCAAGCCGGCGGACGAGCAGAACUUUGGGUUGUUCUACCCGAACCAGCAGCCCGUGUACCCGAACCCGAUCGACUUCGUUCAUGGCGGCACCAUCGGCGGGCCCGUGCGUGCGAGCUAUUGCGUGGCGAACGCGGCGGUCGGGGAUGCGGCCUUGCAGGAGGCGCUGGACUACGCGUGCGACAACGGGGCGGACUGCAGCGCCAUCCAGCCAGGCAAGCCCUGCUUCGAGCCCGACACCAAGCUGGCGCACGCGUCAUACGCCUUCAACGACUACUACCAGAAGAAGGGCCGGGCCAGCAGCGCCUGCGACUUCAGCGGCGCCGGCACCAUUGUCAGCCAGGCACCAUCAGGUGCGUGCGACCCGAGCCCGAGCUGGUGCGUGGCUAACGCGGCGGUGGGCGAGGCUCGGCUUCAGAUGGCCCUUGAUUACGCGUGCGGGCACGGCGGCGCGGACUGCACGGACAUCCAACCCGGAGCACGGUGCUUCGACCCCGACACCAAGGCCGCGCAUGCGUCCUUCGCAUUCAACGACUAUUACCAGCGGCGUGGCCGGGCCACCGGAACGUGCGACUUCGCCGGCGCCGGUAACAUUGUCCGGCAGGCACCAAAGAUCGGCAACUGCGUGCUGCCGUCAACGGCCUGA